UCGGCUGUUACUUGUUUAUUUAAUUGCUGUAAGUUGAGUCCCUGUGCCACGCUAUGACCCUGUCGUAAGUAAUGUCCUCUGUGUCACCCUCUCGGUGUGUGUCUGUUAGUCUGUCUGUCUUCUCAGGUGAAGUGUGGAGUGAUGAGGCCCAGGACUGCUCUUUCUCUCGCCUUCUCGUCUCCAAAGUGCCAGGCAUUUCAUGCAGGGGUUUGAUAAGCUCCUCUCUGACAGCCUCCUGUCCUGAUGAUGUGGACACAGAGACAAAGGCCGACUUCUGCAUUCUUCUGAACCCAGGGUUUAACACAUGCUCAGAUAACAGAAAGGAUUACUUCAUCUCUCUAUUCUAACUCCACGACGUGUGUAUACAGGAAGCGACACCAGUUUUGGUGGGAAAACCACAACACAAACAUCAACUUCAAAACACUGCAUAACAGGAAUGACCUAACUGCGGUGAACAUGGAGGCAGAGAUGGUUCUUUGUGUGUGUAUGAGAGAGAGAUUGUGUAACACACAGCAGUAUUAUGUUUUCAGGUAGUAUAAGGCAGUGGGAGGGGAAUGGUGGAGGCUUGCUUUGCAUGGCUGUUCCAGCUGCUAUCUCCAGCUACAAGACUAAAAGUCUGGCCAGGAAAACAGACUCGCACACACUCACUCCUAUUUUCUUUAAUGUGCUCUGCUCAGUUUUUCCUACUUUAAAAAAAAAACAAGCUACAGCUGUCUGAUAAGAGAGAGGAGGGCCUGUGUACCUAUGUUUGUGUGAAUGUCACUGUGUCAUGUUCGUUUCUUGGAGGGUGUGUGUAGCAUUAGUCAUUUGAGCUGUGACAUUGGUUCUGUAUGUGGCAUGCGUGUGGGUGCACUCAUUAGUGCUAUUAGCAUCAGGGUAAAUAGCUAUGAAAUACUUUAUCACAUUAGCAAAGCAUUGUUUAGUGUCAUUUUAUGUCUAUUCAUGACAGCUUGUGAACUGAAGGUGGGCCUUUCAAAGUCAUGUCACUUAUCAUUAACAUGUUUUCUGAGGCAGAGUACCAUAGUAAAAGUGUUACUUUAGUGUUUUUUUUUUUUUUUUUUUGAAUAUUUACUAUUGAAAUACCAUGAUUCUUUGACAUGUACCAUGUUAAUACCCUGUUUAUCUUUGAAUUGGCUUAAAGUACCAUGUGAAUACCAUGGUAUAUAUAUCAAAGUGUCAUGGUGUUGCCAAGCCAACAUCACGCUGACUGUACCAUGGUACCACCACAGUGCAUUUUUAAAAAGUCAACCCAGAACAGCCUCUUUCAACCAGUUUCAAUGCAGACAAAUGAGCCCUGAAAAUACAUAAACUUCCCACUUUCCGUUUACUUCUUACUUUCACACAUAUUAAAAUUAUGGCCUACAUUUUACACAAAUAGGAGAGCAUAAA